UACAGAGGUCUCAAGCGUUGUUCGGAUUCAUUGGGCGUAAAGGGUGCGUAGGUGGCGCCGUAAGUCGGGUGUGAAAUUUCGGAGCUUAACUCCGAAACUGCAUUCGAUACUGCCGUGCUUGAGGACUGGAGAGGAGACUGGAAUUCAUGGUGUAGCAGUGAAAUGCGUAGAGAUCAUGAGGAAGACCAGUGGCGAAGGCGGGGUCUCUGGACAGUUCCUGACACUGAGGCACGAAGGCCAGGGGAGCAAACGGG
rnacentral:rRNA from 1 species